UGUUAUAAUGAUGAUUCCGAUAUCGCCCCAGUCUGAACAGAUGUGUUGAUCGAUUUUUCCUGAAAAU